CAUGCCUUCCCUUCUUUCUUUGACUCUCACCUUGGUUGGAGUGCCAUAUAGUUCGUAGGCCUCUUUGCAUUGGCAUACUUUUCUACGCGACCAGCAUCUCAAUAAAAUCCUUUAGAUAUCUCUUCUCAAGUGAAAAGAGAAACUAACACUUAUGGAGUCCACCCUUCAGAGCAGAUAUCGUGAUCGACCGGUCAAGAUUGUAUGCUUCAAGUGUAGCUGCAUUGA
rnacentral:lncRNA from 1 species